rnacentral:miRNA from 1 species
UCCCCUAGAGUUCUCCUGAACA